rnacentral:misc_RNA from 1 species
CUUCGUUCGGGACGAAG